GAUGAACGCUGGCGGCGUGCCUAAUACAUGCAAGUCGAGCGAACAGACGAGGAGCUUGCUCCUCUGACGUUAGCGGCGGACGGGUGAGUAACACGUGGAUAACCUACCUAUAAGACUGGGAUAACUUCGGGAAACCGGAGCUAAUACCGGAUAACAUGUUGAACCGCAUGGUUCAACAGUGAAAGACGGUCUUGCUGACACUUAUAGAUGGAUCCGCGCCGCAUUAGCUAGUUGGUAAGGUAACGGCUUACCAAGGCAACGAUGCGUAGCCGACCUGAGAGGGUGAUCGGCCACACUGGAACUGAGACACGGUCCAGACUCCUACGGGAGGCAGCAGUAGGGAAUCUUCCGCAAUGGGCGAAAGCCUGACGGAGCAACGCCGCGUGAGUGAUGAAGGUCUUCGGAUCGUAAAACUCUGUUAUUAGGGAAGAACAAAUGUGUAAGUAACUAUGCACGUCUUGACGGUACCUAAUCAGAAAGCCACGGCUAACUACGUG
rnacentral:rRNA from 1 species